rnacentral:ncRNA from 1 species
GUUCAGGUGCCCUUUGACGUAAAGGCAGAGGGGUAAUAGGGAACCGGGUGAGAAUCCCGGACGAACCGGUCACUGUAAACGGACAGUUCCCGCGCAUGGAUGCCAUUGCCGUAAGGUGAGAAGGCGCGCGGAAACGUUAUGCCGUAAGUCAGGAAACCUGCCUGGACGG